UACGAAGGGGGCUAGCGUUGUUCGGAUUUACUGGGCGUAAAGCGCACGUAGGCGGAUCUUUAAGUCAGAGGUGAAAUCCCAAGGCUCAACCUUGGAACUGCCUUUGAUACUGGGGAUCUCGAGUUCGGGAGAGGUGAGUGGAACUGCGAGUGUAGAGGUGAAAUUCGUAGAUAUUCGCAAGAACACCAGUGGCGAAGGCGGCUCACUGGCCCGAUACUGACGCUGAGGUGCGAAAGCGUGGGGAGCAAACAGGG
rnacentral:rRNA from 1 species